rnacentral:rRNA from 1 species
GACAGAGGGUGCAAACGUUGUUCGGAUUUACUGGGCGUAAAGCGUGUGUAAGCGGCUUUGCAAGUCGGAUGUGAAAUCCCACGGCUCAACCGUGGAAGUGCAUCCGAAACGGCAUCGCUUGAGUCUCGGAGAGGAAGGUGGAAUGCUUGGUGUAGAGGUGAAAUUCGUAGAUAUCAAGCAGAACACCUGCGGCGAAGGCGGCCUUCUGGACGAUGACUGACGCUGAGACACGAAAGCGUGGGGAGCAAACAGG